CACAAAUAUAGAAACAUGGAGGGAAGACGGCCAUGUCACCAUGGAGGCGGAAAUUGGAAUGAUGCAUCUACAAACCAAAGAACACCAAGGAUUGCCGGCCGUCACCAGAAGCUGGGAAAGAGGUUUGUCCUCAGAAUCUCCAGAAGGAACCAACCCUGCCAACACCUUGAUCUUGGACUUCCAGUCUCCAGAAAUGAAGACUCUGUGGCUUCAAGAGUUUGUCCGACUUGUACAAGUUCCACAGGCAAUGAAAGAUAAACAAGGGCCGGGAUUUCAGGAUCAGCUGGCUGACAUACACACCGACUCUUGCCCCAUUUGUAAUUGAGAACCACCUGCCCCAGAAAUGAAGAAACAUAGAAGCCUUGUACUUCUGCUUUUACCUUUUCUAAGCUGUCACUCAUGACUGAGUCAUGGAAAAUGACAACUUUAUUUUAGGAAACCAACGGCACAAGUAUAUGCAAUGUUUCAAUCUCCAGAAUUAAAGCGUCCAGGUACACGGGAUUAUGGUCACAAAAAGCAUCUUCAGUAUCUUCUGCUCCAAAUCCUCAGGAAACUUGUGGCUGGAGAUGCUGCAUGGACUACUCCAAACCACACAGUGAAUCUCUAAAUGCAGCCAGUUGAGACGACUGGAUGUGGCAUGCUGUACUUUGAAAAGACACAUGAAUCCCAGGUCGGCAGCACCCUAAACUAUCUUCCAUCUAAUCCGUUGGUCAAGGUGUUGCACUGAUUGUGUGUCAAGUCUGUUUCUCAUGGAGAGAGAUGCUUCAACUUCUGGUUGUUGAUAGCUUUUGGCUUUAAAGAACAAG
rnacentral:lncRNA from 1 species